GAUGAACGCUAGCGGGAGGCUUAACACAUGCAAGUCGAGGGGCAGCAUAGGGUAGCAAUACUCUGAUGGCGACCGGCAAACGGGUGAGUAACGCGUAUGCAACCUACCCUGUACAGGGGGAUAACCCGGAGAAAUUCGGACUAAUAUCCCGUAAUAAUAUCCGGAGGCAUCUUUGGAUAUUUAAAGUUCCGACGGUACGGGAUGGGCAUGCGUAACAUUAACUGGUUGGUAAGGUAACGGCUUACCAAGGCUAUGAUGUUUAGGGGUCCUGAGAGGGUGGUCCCCCACACUGGUACUGAGACACGGACCAGACUCCUACGGGAGGCAGCAGUGAGGAAUAUUGGUCAAUGGGCGCAAGCCUGAACCAGCCAUCCCGCGUGCAGGAAGACGGCCCUAUGGGUUGUAAACUGCUUUUCCAGGGAGAGAAACUUACGCACGUGUUGCGUGACUGACGGUACCCUGGGAAUAAGCAUCGGCUAACUCCGUGCCAGCAGCCGACGGUAAAACGUAG
rnacentral:rRNA from 1 species